UACGUAGGGUGCGAGCGUUGUCCGGAAUUAUUGGGCGUAAAGAGCUCGUAGGCGGUUUGUCGCGUCGGCCGUGAAAUCUCCACGCUUAACGUGGAGCGUGCGGUCGAUACGGGCAGACUUGAGUUCGGCAGGGGAGACUGAAUUCCUGGUGUAGUGGUGAAAUACGUAGAUAUCAGGAGGAAUACCGGUGGCGAAGGCGGCUCGCUGGGACGUAACUGACGCUGAGACGCGAAAGCGUGGGGAGCAAACAGG
rnacentral:rRNA from 1 species